rnacentral:rRNA from 1 species
UACGUAGGGGGCUAGCGUUGUCCGGAUUUAUUGGGCGUAAAGAGCGUGUAGGCGGCCAGGUAGGUCUGCUGUGAAAACUCGAGGCUCAACCUCGAGACGUCGGCGGAAACCAUCUGGCUAGAGUCCGGAAGAGGAGAGUGGAAUUCCUGGUGUAGCGGUGAAAUGCGCAGAUAUCAGGAAGAACACCCGUGGCGAAGGCGGCUCUCUGGGACGGUACUGACGCUGAGGAGCGAA